AACGAACGCUGGCGGCAGGCCUCAAACAUGCAAGUCUAGGGGGUGUAGCAAUACAUCACCGGCGGACGGGUGCGUAACGCGUGGGAAUAUACCUAUUGGUUCGGAACAACACAGGGAAACUUGUGCUAAUACCGAAUGUGCCCUUACGGGAAAGAUUUAUCGCCAAUGGAUUAGCCCGCGUCCGAUUAGCUAGUUGGUGAGGUAACGGCUCACCCAAGGCUCCGAUCGGUAGCUGUUCUGAGAGGAAGAUCAGCCACACUGGGACUGAGACACGGCCCAGACUCCUACGGGAGGCAGCAGUUGGGAAUCUUGGACAAUGGGGGAAACCCUGAUCCAGCCAUGCCGCGUGAGUGAUGAAGGCCUCGGGUUGUAAACUCUUUCGACGGGGACGAGUAAUGACGGUACCCGUAGAAGAAGC
rnacentral:rRNA from 1 species